AACGAACGCUGGCGGCGUGGAUAAGACAUGCAAGUCGAACGCUAAUUUCGGGGUAGCAAUAUUCCGGAGUUGGAGUGGCGAAAGGGUGCGUAACACGUGGGUAAUUUGCCGUGAAGUUGGGGAUAACUUGCUGAAAGGCGAGCUAAUACCGAAUGUGGUCUAACAAGGCUAAAGUUGGGGACCGUAAGGCCUGACGCUUCAUGAUAAGCCCGCGGCCUAUCAGCUAGUUGGUGAGGUAAUGGCUCACCAAGGCUAAGACGGGUAGCUGGUCUGAGAGGACGACCAGCCUCACUGGAACUGAGACACGGUCCAGACACCUACGGGUGGCAGCAGUCGAGAAUUUUUCUCAAUGGGGGGAAACCCUGAAGGAGCGACGCCGCGUGGGGGAUGAAUGGCUUCGGCCCGUAAGCCCCUGUCAUUUGCGAACAAACCUUUCGUGUUAACAGCACGGGAGCUGAUUGUAGCGAAAGAGGAAGGGACGGCUAACUCUGUGCCAGCAGCCGCGGUAAU
rnacentral:rRNA from 1 species